CACCUCUCAAGCUCAGCUUGGUAUUGGGUGCCGUCCCCAGGGGCGCAUCUGGAAAGUAGCGGCGGUGCGGCCGGUGAUCAAGCGUAGUAACUACUCCCGCUUUGAGACACCCGGGCGUGCCAGCCGGAUAACACCCAAAUUUUUCAAU
rnacentral:misc_RNA from 1 species